rnacentral:rRNA from 1 species
AGUGAACGCUGGCGGUAGGCCUAACACAUGCAAGUCGAACGGCAGCACAGUAAGAGCUUGCUCUUACGGGUGGCGAGUGGCGGACGGGUGAGGAAUACAUCGGAAUCUACUUUUUCGUGGGGGAUAACGUAGGGAAACUUACGCUAAUACCGCAUACGACCUACGGGUGAAAGCAGGGGAUCUUCGGACCUUGCGCGAUUGAAUGAGCCGAUGUCGGAUUAGCUAGUUGGCGGGGUAAAGGCCCACCAAGGCGACGAUCCGUAGCUGGUCUGAGAGGAUGAUCAGCCACACUGGAACUGAGACAAGGUCCAGACUCCUACGGGAGGCAGCAGGUGGGAAUAUUGGACUAUGGGCGCAAGCCUGAACCAGCCAUACCGCGUGGGUGAAGAAGGCCUUCGGGUUGUAAAGCCCUUUUGUUGGGAAAGAAAAGCAGCAGGUUAAUACCCCGCUGUUCUGACGUUACCCAAAGAAUAAGCACCGGCUAACUUCGUG